rnacentral:rRNA from 1 species
UACGGAGGAGGCAAGCGUUAUCCGGAAUUAUUGGGCGUAAAGCGUCCGCAGGUGGCACUUCAAGUCUGUCGUCAAAGACUGGGGCUUAACCCUGGAAAGGCGGUGGAAACUGAAGCGCUAGAGUGUGGUAGGGGUAGUGGAAUUCCCGGUGUAGUGGUGAAAUGCGUAGAUAUCGGGAGGAACACCAGUGGCGAAGGCGACUACCUGGCCUGUUUCUUGACGCUGAGGCGCGAAAGCUAGGGGAGCGAACGGG